rnacentral:rRNA from 1 species
GCUCAGGAUGAACGCUGGCGGCGUGCCUAAUACAUGCAAGUCGAGCGAACAGACAAGGAGCUUGCUCCUUUGACGUUAGCGGCGGACGGGUGAGUAACACGUGGGUAACCUACCUAUAAGACUGGGAUAACUUCGGGAAACCGGAGCUAAUACCGGAUAAUAUUUCGAACCGCAUGGUUCGAUAGUGAAAGAUGGUUUUGCUAUCACUUAUAGAUGGACCCGCGCCGUAUUAGCUAGUUGGUAAGGUAACGGCUUACCAAGGCGACGAUACGUAGCCGACCUGAGAGGGUGAUCGGCCACACUGGAACUGAGACACGGUCCAGACUCCUACGGGAGGCAGCAGUAGGGAAUCUUCCGCAAUGGGCGAAAGCCUGACGGAGCAACGCCGCGUGAGUGAUGAAGGUCUUCGGAUCGUAAAACUCUGUUAUUAGGGAAGAACAUACGUGUAAGUAACUAUGCACGUCUUGACGGUACCUAAUCAGAAAGCCACGGCUAACUACGUGCCAGCAGCCGCGGUAAUACGUAGGUGGCAAGCGUUAUCCGGAAUUAUUGGGCGUAAAGCGCGCGUAGGCGGUUUUUUAAGUCUGAUGUGAAAGCCCACGGCUCAACCGUGGAGGGUCAUUGGAAACUGGAAAACUUGAGUGCAGAAGAGGAAAGUGGAAUUCCAUGUGUAGCGGUGAAAUGCGCAGAGAUAUGGAGGAACACCAGUGGCGAAGGCGACUUUCUGGUCUGUAACUGACGCUGAUGUGCGAAAGCGUGGGGAUCAAACAGGAUUAGAUACCCUGGUAGUCCACGCCGUAAACGAUGAGUGCUAAGUGUUAGGGGGUUUCCGCCCCUUAGUGCUGCAGCUAACGCAUUAAGCACUCCGCCUGGGGAGUACGACCGCAAGGUUGAAACUCAAAGGAAUUGACGGGGACCCGCACAAGCGGUGGAGCAUGUGGUUUAAUUCGAAGCAACGCGAAGAACCUUACCAAAUCUUGACAUCCUUUGACAACUCUAGAGAUAGAGCCUUCCCCUUCGGGGGACAAAGUGACAGGUGGUGCAUGGUUGUCGUCAGCUCGUGUCGUGAGAUGUUGGGUUAAGUCCCGCAACGAGCGCAACCCUUAAGCUUAGUUGCCAUCAUUAAGUUGGGCACUCUAAGUUGACUGCCGGUGACAAACCGGAGGAAGGUGGGGAUGACGUCAAAUCAUCAUGCCCCUUAUGAUUUGGGCUACACACGUGCUACAAUGGACAAUACAAAGGGCAGCGAAACCGCGAGGUCAAGCAAAUCCCAUAAAGUUGUUCUCAGUUCGGAUUGUAGUCUGCAACUCGACUACAUGAAGCUGGAAUCGCUAGUAAUCGUAGAUCAGCAUGCUACGGUGAAUACGUUCCCGGGUCUUGUACACACCGCCCGUCACACCACGAGAGUUUGUAACACCCGAAGCCGGUGGAGUAACCAUUUGGAGCUAGCCGUCGAAGGUGGGACAAAUGAUUGGG